rnacentral:rRNA from 1 species
CCUACGGGAGGCAGCAGUGAGGAAUAUUGGUCAAUGGACGCGAGUCUGAACCAGCCAAGCAGCGUGAAGGAUGACUGCCCUAUGGGUUGUAAACUUCUUUUAUAAGAGAAUAAAGUCAGGCACGCGUGUCUGUUUGUAAGUAUUUUAUGAAUAAGGAUCGGCUAACUCCGUGCCAGCAGCCGCGGUAAUACGGAGGAUCCGAGCGUUAUCCGGAUUUAUUGGGUUUAAAGGGUGCGUAGGUGGGUUGUUAAGUCAGUUGUGAAAUUUUGAGGCUCAACCUUGAAAUUGCAUUUGAUACUGUCAGGCUAGAGAGCAGUUGCGGUAGGCGGAAUGUGUGGUGUAGCGGUGAAAUGCUUAGAGAUCACGCAGAACUCCGAUUGCGAAGGCAGCUUACUAAGCUGCCACUGACAUUGAGGCUCGAAAGUGUGGGUAUCAAACAGGAUUAGAUACCCUGGUAGUC